GGGUUGUGAGGUUAAGCGACUAAGCGUACACGGUGGAUGCCCUGGCAGUCAGAGGCGAUGAAGGACGUGCUAAUCUGCGAAAAGCGUCGGUAAGGUGAUAUGAACCGUUAUAACCGGCGAUGUCCGAAUGGGGAAACCCAGUGCAAUUCGUUGCACUAUCGUUAACUGAAUACAUAGGUUAACGAGGCGAACCGGGGGAACUGAAACAUCUAAGUACCCCGAGGAAAAGAAAUCAACCGAGAUUCCCCCAGUAGCGGCGAGCGAACGGGGAGCAGCCCAGAGUCUGAAUCAGC
rnacentral:rRNA from 1 species